CCUGGGUGUUCCCUUCUUACUGCUGUUUUGGCCUUCCAGGUGCCCUGUGCUUGUGAAUGCCUCCACCUGCAGCCUAUUUUUCUCAGCUGGCAAGCUCAACUUGCCCUAGAAUAAAAGCCACUUGCAACUAAUCAGGGCUGCCCUGUUGGUUGAUGAAGGAGGUGUGGGUGGUUUUGUAUUGGAGCACAGAGCACAUGGUGGGACCCUUUUUCCUCUGAAGUUAAUGCACCGUAUCUCAGGCAGCAGCCAGCCAAAAGAGCCCUAUCUGCUGCUGACUAUCCAAAAAAUUGAAGAUGAGUCCUGCUGUGCUGAGAACGUGAGCUCUGGGUCUGCAUUCUCCAGCCAGCCGCCAGCUCCUCCAUUGGAACCAGCAAAAUUUGAAGUGAAAGAAUCUGAAGUGAAAGAGCAGGUUUUUAAAGAAAUAUGAAGAUUUAGCAAGGCCAUGGCAAUGAAAAAGAGAAUUUAAACUCAUGUGAACUUCUAUAUCCCAGUAUUUAUAGUGUUGUGAAUACAGUCUGAGCAUCUCUAAAUGUUUAUCUGCUUCACUUUUUCCCCCAAGAGAACGUGAGUGCUCCGUUAUUUUUCAGAAGAGUUCACUAAUGUCUUUCCUGCCACAUAAGCUUUACUUCUUUCUCUUUGGUUUGACAAGUAUGGAGAUGUAAUUCUGAUUGCUGACCCUACUUCUACCCAUCCAUUUAAAAUCUGUCCAAGGGUACAUUAGCUGAAGGAAACAAAAUUAUUGCUGUUAAUUUUUAUUAUUUGGAUGAGACCAAAUGCUGUUAAUUAGCCUUAUUAUCUUGUCCUUUCUUGCUUAAUUGAUUGUAACUGAAAGAAAUGUUAUAUCCUAUCUGUAAACUUUUCUAACUCAUCUUCAGUGGCUGAAGAGAGAUGGGUCAUAUUUCAGGUUGACUUGGGUCUUUCAUUGGUGAUUGGUUGCAGGCUUUCAUGAUGAAAUAGAGCAUCUUGCUACUUUUAUUAGACCUUGCCACUCCCACAAGGAACUCGUGUAUCUAUAUCCUUAAAUGUAUUCACUAUCUGUGCCUUAAUGAUUUCUGUGGUGGUGUUUCCCCCCCCCGCCCCCCCCAUUAUUUUGCAUUAGUAGUAUUCAAAUCCGAGAACGAAUCUGAAGGACCAUUCCUCUGUUGUCAGGGUACCUCUGCAAAGUAGGUAGCAGUAGUUCUCCUUAAUCCCAUGUUAAAAGUGCUACCUGCAUAUAGGAUUUCUUCUAUGGGACUAUGCUCUUAGUCUUGCAAAACUGACAACUCAUUUUGUUUAGUUUUUCCAUAGUCUGAUCAAAGCAACUUUUAAAAUGUUUUCUUGGUACAUUAGCACUGUGAAAUUGCUUCUAACUCUAUUGGCCAAUUAGCAACUCUUUAAUCUGCUAUAUUGUUUGUCAAGGCAGUGUGACAGAAUGACAGGCUACCAUACUAAUUAGCUAGCUCCUGCAUAAGUUGAAAAUUGCUCUUGUUGGACAAAUAUUUUAAGUUAAAGAAGUAGGGACCUGGAAGCCUGGAAAUAAACUUAGUCAUGCAAGGAUGCAUCAAAGAGGACUGAAUGGCUCAGGUAAUUGGUAAUGGGAGGAAGGACCUUUCACCUUUCUGUAACAAAUCAGAAAACUUAUUGAGUGGAAUGGAUAAGAUAAAUUUUAAAAGCUUUGAAUGAACGUAGGGUUCAAAGUAUUGGUUCAUGAACCUCAUUUUUGCUAGCACAAGUUGGGCUUACAUUGGAUGGCAAUGUUCAUUUAACUUGAAGGGCAGCUAACCCGUGUGCAUGCACCUACCACCCCCUUGCCCUCCAUUUAGGGAUGACCUUUUUUUCUCAAAACUCUUUGUCUCCAUGCAGAAUGUAAUUUCUGGCAAGAAUAAGCAUUCAGAAGUAUCAAGAAGAGGGAGAUGAGCUGCAGAGUUUUCCUCUAAAUGUGCUCUUCACAGCUUUAGAUAAACCCAAGUCAACUUGUUGUCAGUGUUGCAAUGAGAGAUCUGCUUUGUUUCAGGUGUUUAGAAAUGAAGUGAGAUCAAAAUGUCAGAAAAGAGUCACGAAAAAUCUUCCAAAAGAAUUGAAUUUCAAGCUUCGUUCUUCAUUGCCAACACAGAUUGAAUAUUUGGAUUAAAAAACUUUGCUUUAGGAAUGUCUGAUUUAAAAACAAACAAACAAACAAAAAAGGCAGAGUUCAUUUUAAACUGUGAUACUCUUUUAAGAGUGGAGCUGAAAUGUUGCAUUCUCAGCUCAGCAUUCCCAGUGCUGGAAGGAUAUGGGAAAGACAGAAGGUAUUCACAGAAGAGCAAUGCAAGUGAUUAAGGGAGUAGAGAGAUUGAUGACUUGAUGUGUGAAGAAAUAUUAAGGGUGCUAAAUAUGUAUUGCUUGCCCGUCUAAAUGAUGGAUACAAAAAAUGCAAGGAGCUUUCUUGAAUUGAUGAUUGAUUAGGUGAAAUGAAUGAAGGGGAUGAAAAGAAUUAUUGCCUGCUGUGCUGCAGGAACAGUGAUUCUGGAUUAGAUCAGCAGUAUGUGACCAGUAUCUCAUCUUUAGCAGUGGGGGGUAGCUGAUUCUCAUAAAAGAAAAAAAUAAAAUCUCAGUUGGAUAAUUACAGAUUUUUCUGUCUAAGGAGAAAGGUUUCUACAGUUGUCUUCAGUGUAUGGAGAAAACGGAUGGGAAGGUGAAAAGUACAUGGAACAAAAGUAACUCUUACUGAGAGUGUAAAGAGUUAAUGAACAGAAGUGCUCUGAAAAUGCUGUUCUUAAAGCCUAUGCAUUUUUUUUUCUAUUAUACUCUCAAAUGAAACCGCAGAA